AAAGUUGUCCGGAUUUACUGGGCGUAAAGGGAGCGUAGGUGGAUGUUCAAGUGGGAUGUGAAAUACCCGGGCUUAACCUGGGUGCUGCAUUCCAAACUGGAUAUCUAGAGUGCAGGAGAGGAAAGGAGAAUUCCUAGUGUAGCGGUGAAAUGCGUAGAGAUUAGGAAGAAUACCAGUGGCGAAGGCGCCUUUCUGGACUGUAACUGACACUGAGGCUCGAAAGCGUGGGGAGCAAACAGGAUUAGAUACCUGGUAGUCCACGCCGUAAACGAUGAAUACUAGGUGUAGGGGUUGUCAUGACCUCUGUGCCGCCGCUAACGCAUUAAGUAUUCCGCCUGGGGAGUACGGUCGCAAGAUUAAAACUCAAAGGAAUUGACGGGGGCCCGCACAAGCAGCGGAGCAUGUGGUUUAAUUCGAAGCAACGCGAAGAACCUUACCUAGACUUGACAUCUCCUGAAUUACUCUGUAAUGGAGGAAGCUACUUCGGUGGCAGGAAGACAGGUGGUGCAUGGUUGUCGUCAGCUCGUGUCGUGAGAUGUUGGGUUAAGUCCCGCAACGAGCGCAACCCUUAUUGUUAGUUGCUACCAUUUAGUUGAGCACUCUAGCGAGACUGCCCGGGUUAACCGGGAGGAAGGUGGGGAUGACGUCAAAUCAUCAUGCCCCUUAUGUCUAGGGCUACACACGUGCUACAAUGGUCGGUACAAUGAGAUGCAACCUCGCGAGAGUGAGCAAAACUAUAAAACCGAUCUCAGUUCGGAUUGUAGGCUGAAACUCGCCUACAUGAAGCUGGAGUUGCUAGUAAUCGCGAAUCAGAAUGUCGCGGUGAAUACGUUCCCGGGCCUUGUACACACCGCCCGUCACACCAUGAGAGUUGGCAAUACCCAAAGUUCGUGAGCUAACCGCAAGGAGGCAGCGACAUAAGGUAGGGUCAGCGAUUGGG
rnacentral:rRNA from 1 species